AUUAGUCCUGCCAAGGCUCAACCAGUUCAAACAGCAGGUAAAGGACGCAGUUAGAUCUAAUGACCCUAGAAAACUCAAAGGAGAACAUUUGUGCAAACAAUGAGGUUGUUUUAGCUAAAAACUACCACUUACUUCAUCAGUGAAGCCUACAAAGUGCAAACUAGACCAUCUUGUUAAACAUUUACCUGAGAUUCUUCUUAAUACCCGCUCUGCCCUAGCGGUGGGGGCAGUGGAGGUGAGUUCUGCCUCCUGGAAUGUCUCCUGAAUAAAAUACCAGUAAAAUGUGCACAUGCUCAUUGGAAUUUACAGGUUGCAGUUUGCACUUGAUUCGGAGAGCGACAGCCUGUAUCAUUUCUCCUGAAGCAUCUCUCCUACAGGGCACUACCAAAGUUAAAGGAGGAAAAUGCUUGUUCGUGGAGAGAGUUGGACAGGGCGGGUAAAGGUCCAGCCAUCCCAGCACCUGCAGGAUGCCCGGCCCCAGAUGCUGCUGGCGUGCGACUCCUGUCACGCCCAGCCAGGGGACUGCACGGUCAGGCCUCCGUGACGUGAUCUAGGAGGCAGCUGUCCAAGAGUUUGAUAAUCCCAGCAAUAUUAGCAGAUGAGUAUUUGAAAAAGUACAUAUUUUUAACAGGGAAAUCCUCCAGGGUCCAUUUUGAAGGUCAGUGUUUGGGAAAAGCCUACAGUCAGGAGGUCACUGAGGGGCAAAUCAGGGGUGGAAGAGACUGUAGGUUCAUUCCCCAGGGUCCACGGCCACACAGCCGGCUUGGGACGCGGGCUAGGUCCCCAGGCCCCCACAGCGCGCUCUUGCUUAGAUGGGGUUCACAGGGAAACUAUGUCACACGGAAUUCUGAGACUCAGCCAGUCAGCCUAUGAUGAAGACGUGUCUGCACAGACUCCAGAGGCCCGAUCUGAGCACCCAAACCAGCUCCCUGUGAAAGGACUUCAGCUCUUUGAUUCCAAGAUCUAAGGUCCUGGCCAGACUCCUUUCGCCUCUCUCUAUUUCCUGCAAGUCCACCUGGAAAACACGAGCGUUGGGUGAGCCUGGCCGGGCCCUUCCCCUCCCAGGCACGUCCGCAGACUGUGCGGGACAGGCCCCAGCCGGGAGCUGGGCCCGUGGGCAGGGCCUUCAGACGGCCCUCAGCCCUCCCACUGCCCCGAGCUCGCGCCCCAGGGGCUGGCUGGAAGCCCCUCCGACGUUCCUGAGCUCCCAGCACACCCACCCGCCCCUUCACUUCAUCCUUUUUGCGCAGAUGAGGGCUCCCUGGUCCCCCCUUCAGCCGCAGCCCUGCCUGCCCUCCUGCCUCAACAUGAGUGGGGCUCCUCCCCUCCUGUGUCGUCCCUCCACCUGUGCUUUGCACUCUCUCCCCUCCCAUCACAUUCAAAACAAAAGCCAAGGAAUGUCUUCACCUUAGUUUACAAGACCUUAUAUUAUCCGGCCACCCCACCCAGCUCUGCAGCCUCAGUCCCCAUCCCAGUCUCUUCCUUGUUUACUCCGCUGCAGCCACAGCCUCGGCCUCUUCAGCGGAACAUACCAAGCAGGCUGUUGCCUCAGGACCUUUGCUCACACUGUACUGUCUGGGUGUCUUUCCCCCGGUAUGCACAGCACAGGCUCAGAGCUCCCUCACUUCCUUCAGGACCCUGCUCCAGGAUCCCCAGUCAGCAGAUAAAGUAAUGGGCAGUAAAUUCAAGACCAGUUCCACAGAUUGGAUCAACUUCCUCUUAAGCGGCCCGACAAGAGUGAAGGCUCCCCCCACCCCUUGGUUUUAUAUUUGACAUGUUAAUGAGGAGAUGGGACUAGUAAAUGCAAGCCACAGGCGGUUAAAAUGGUUUCAGCCAUUAGCCCUAAUUAUACAUGCCUUGAAAUCUUUUAGUGGAAAUGUCACACUAUAAACAUCAUCUUUGUUUCACAUCCUGUUCUUUUCCAUUGUUGCCUGACAGAAGAAGUACCAGUGAAUAGGGAAAUUACUUAUUUGGCUACAAAAAUGAACAUAAAAUUGGAGUCAUCUACCAGGCAGAGAACCAACAAAAUUCUUGGGAUUUGGGGGCUCCUGUUCCCAACACCCUUGCUUGUCAGAGGGGGAAACCCAGGUCAAGCAAUUCGCUGCAAAGCGCAAGUCCUGUGGCCCAUGCGGCCAAGACUGAGGCACCCUGACCUGCCCCAAGACCGUGUAUGUUCACCAGGACCCAGUAAUUAUCUUCUGACUGGUACAGGAGGAGGGAGAGAGAGAAUUUCCACAGAAGACCUGCUUAUGACUCUUUUGAUGCUAUUCACAGUUACAAAUUGCAAAUUACUUUUCAAAAUUAGUUAGCUCAAAAUACCCAGACACCUGGCCACAGGCUGCCAACCUGAUGCUCAGAUGGGCGCCUUGACCGGCUCGGCCCGUGACUCCCAUCACUCAGUUGCCCUGGGCCCCAGCCCCAGCCGCCUCCGCCAGGAGAAACAUGAGUGACUCUGGGAACUGAUCACAAAACUGCAGCUGGACCGAAUUCUUCAAGAACGGUGGCUCCAUGACCUGGGACGCCUCACAGCCAGGACAUUUUUCUCCGUAAGUCAGCUCUGGGUAAUGGAAACAAUUAGAAGAAAUUCAGAUGUGCACAGAACUUCUCUUUCUGCCUAAUAUGGAAAUAAUAAUUAACUGUCCAAACAUGUAAGCAUGUUUGCUCACGGCUGAUGAUUCACCUUUAAAGUUGUGCAAAGAAAAUGUCAAACUUUUUGUAAAGUAACUUAACAAUGUGUGUCAAGAGUCAUGAAAAUGUAUCUAUUCCUUUUGACACAGUAAUCUUAUUACUGGAAACUGAUCUUCAGAAAUUAUCCAAAAGAGAAAAGAUGUUCACUACAAAAUCUGAAUUAACUGAAAUGCCCAGUAAUAAGGAAAAGUUUAAUUGGAGCACAUCUUCCCAGCAACAUAUUACAUAGCCAUUAAAAAUUAAUGACAAGGACUGUCACAACAUGGGCAAAAUGCUGAGGACAGUGUUAAAUGAAAAAGCAGAAUACAAAUUAUAUGUGCAUUAUGACUGUUCUGAUAUAUUUUGAUGUAGGAAAAACAUGAAGGCAGGAUUAUGGGUAAUUUUUUUUCCCCUGGUUUUUCCUUAACUUUUGUAAUGUUGACUUACUGUUUCAGUAAUUUUCAAAAGGAAAACAGGUUAUGUACAAUGCUUCAUACACUGCACUAUACACAUUUAUCAAUACAUAAAUAAUUUAUAAAAAUAAACAGUUCAUCUCAAA